AGAGUUUGAUCCUGGCUCAGGACGAACGCUGGCGGCGUGCUUAACACAUGCAAGUCGAACGAUGAACCACUUCGGUGGGGAUUAGUGGCGAACGGGUGAGUAACACGUGGGCAAUCUGCCCUUCACUCUGGGACAAGCCCUGGAAACGGGGUCUAAUACCGGAUAAUACUUCCACUCGCAUGGGUGGGGGUUGAAAGCUCCGGCGGUGAAGGAUGAGCCCGCGGCCUAUCAGCUUGUUGGUGAGGUAGUGGCUCACCAAGGCGACGACGGGUAGCCGGCCUGAGAGGGCGACCGGCCACACUGGGACUGAGACACGGCCCAGACUCCUACGGGAGGCAGCAGUGGGGAAUAUUGCACAAUGGGCGAAAGCCUGAUGCAGCGACGCCGCGUGAGGGAUGACGGCCUUCGGGUUGUAAACCUCUUUCAGCAGGGAAGAAGCGAAAGUGACGGUACCUGCAGAAGAAGCGCCGGCUAACUACGUGCCAGCAGCCGCGGUAAUACGUAGGGCGCAAGCGUUGUCCGGAAUUAUUGGGCGUAAAGAGCUCGUAGGCGGUCUGUCGCGUCGGAUGUGAAAGCCCGGGGCUUAACCCCGGGUCUGCAUUCGAUACGGGCAGACUAGAGUGUGGUAGGGGAGAUCGGAAUUCCUGGUGUAGCGGUGAAAUGCGCAGAUAUCAGGAGGAACACCGGUGGCGAAGGCGGAUCUCUGGGCCAUUACUGACGCUGAGGAGCGAAAGCGUGGGGAGCGAACAGGAUUAGAUACCCUAGUAGUCC
rnacentral:rRNA from 1 species